rnacentral:lncRNA from 1 species
AACAUUUUUAGUUAACUAAUGUGUUUCAUACUGUUUUAGAUGAUUGAAUUGGUCAGUUACAAGCCAAAUAAAGGUUCUCUGGACAGAGAAAGGAGUCACACAUGGGUGAACCUCAGGAAAGCCUUCUCUAUAUAGCGAGCUAAAAGGAUGACUGGUUUUUAUCCUAGGUUUUUGUCAAAACACUGUGGAAAGGGCCUGAAAAGGAAAGGCAGGCACCGUCACCCAACCACGAACGAACUUCCAUCGAGCUUAUAGCAGCGGGACAUGAGGAAGAGAAAAGAAAUUGAAUAAGAUGAAUAACGUUCAUUAAUAUUCCUGAGCACUGACCCGCACCCAGCCCUGCCAAACCCAGUCUGAGCUGGACGUUUCCUCUUCAGGCCUCCUGAACCCACCGGCACGCUGCACUGAGGACUGACUGGUUUAAGCUACUUCAGUUCAAAUGUGCAGUGAAAUACGUUGAAUCAUUACAGUAAGAACCUUUAUUUUAUGUCAGAUUUAUUGGAUAGAAGUUCAAUCAGGACUCUUCAUUAUUUUUCUUUUGUAAUUUUCUACAAAGCUCAUUUUUCCACAUUUCACAUUUUUCUAACAUAACAUAAUACGAAAAGAAGGAAAUCUACUGCAAAU